rnacentral:rRNA from 1 species
AUUGAACGCUGGCGGAAUGCUUUACACAUGCAAGUCGAACGGCAGCACGGACUUCGGUCUGGUGGCGAGUGGCGAACGGGUGAGUAAUGUAUCGGAACGUGCCCAGUCGUGGGGGAUAACGUAGUGAAAAUUACGCUAAUACCGCAUACGAUCUAUGGAUGAAAGCGGGGGAUCGCAAGACCUCGCGCGAUUGGAGCGGCCGAUAUCAGAUUAGGUAGUUGGUGGGGUAAAGGCCCACCAAGCCAACGAUCUGUAGCUGGUCUGAGAGGACGACCAGCCACACUGGAACUGAGACACGGGCCAGACUCCUACGGGAGGCAGCAGUGGGGAAUUUUGGACAAUGGGCGAAAGCCUGAUCCAGCCAUUCCGCGUGCAGGAUGAAGGCCCUCGGGUUGUAAACUGCUUUUGUACAGAACGAAAAGGUUUCUACUAAUACUAGGAGCUCAUGACGGUACUGUAAGAAUAAGCACCGGCUAACUACGUGCCAGCCGCCGCGGUAACAC